GAUACUGUAUUAAACAGGUGAGAGAGAUACUGUAUUAAACAGGUGAGAGAGAUACUGUAUUAAACAGGUGAGAGAGAUACUGUAUUAAACAGGUGAGAGAGAUACUGUAUUAAACAGGUGAGAGAGAUACUGUAUUAAACAGGUGAGAGAGAUACUGUAUUAAACAGGUGAGAGAGAUACUGUAUUAAACAGGUGAGAGAGAUACUGUAUUAAACAGGUGAGAGAGAUACUGUAUUAAACAGGUGAGAGAGAUACUGUAUUAAACAGGUGAGAGAGAUACUGUAUUAAACAGGUGAGAGAGAUACUGUAUUAAACAGGUGAGAGAGAUACUGUAUUAAACAGGUGAGAGAGAUACUGUAUUAAACAGGUGAGAGAGAUACUGUAUUAAACAGGUGAGAGAGAUACUGUAUUAAACAGGUGAGAGAGAUACUGUAUUAAACAGGUGAGAGAGAUACUGUAUUAAACAGGUGAGAGAGAUACUG